rnacentral:rRNA from 1 species
UAACAGGAGCAGCUUGCUUCUUCGCUGACGAGUGGCGGACGGGUGAGUAAUGUCUGGGAAACUGCCUGAUGGAGGGGGAUAACUACUGGAAACGGUAGCUAAUACCGCAUAACGUCGCAAGACCAAAGAGGGGGACCUUCGGGCCUCUUGCCAUCGGAUGUGCCCAGAUGGGAUUAGCUAGUAGGUGGGGUAACGGCUCACCUAGGCGACGAUCCCUAGCUGGUCUGAGAGGAUGACCAGCCACACUGGAACUGAGACACGGUCCAGACUCCUACGGGAGGCAGCAGUGGGGAAUAUUGCACAAUGGGCGCAAGCCUGAUGCAGCCAUGCCGCGUGUAUGAAGAAGGCCUUCGGGUUGUAAAGUACUUUCAGCGGGGAGGAAGGGAGUAAAGUUAAUACCUUUGCUCAUUGACGUUACCCGCAGAAGAAGCACCGGCUAACUCCGUGCCAGCAGCCGCGGUAAUACGGAGGGUGCAAGCGUUAAUCGGAAUUACUGGGCGUAAAGCGCACGCAGGCGGUUUGUUAAGUCAGAUGUGAAAUCCCCGGGCUCAACCUGGGAACUGCAUCUGAUACUGGCAAGCUUGAGUCUCGUAGAGGGGGGUAGAAUUCCAGGUGUAGCGGUGAAAUGCGUAGAGAUCUGGAGGAAUACCGGUGGCGAAGGCGGCCCCCUGGACGAAGACUGACGCUCAGGUGCGAAAGCGUGGGGAGCAAACAGGAUUAG